GAGUUUGAAAUUGAAAUGUGUAAA
rnacentral:miRNA from 1 species